UUAGAGGGGGGUAAUUUAAAUACCCAACCUAGAAUUUACAAUUCUACCUUCACCAAAAAAGUGCUUAUA
rnacentral:tRNA from 1 species